GGACUGGGCCCAAAGCCGGAAGCUGCCCUGGGGAGUGUGGGAGCGGGCACGACAGCAAACGGCCAACAUCAGACAGCAAAGCCCACAGCCAGCAGCCACACUGCCUCUGGAAUGGAGGCCACGCCCGAACUGUGCAGACCACAGAGGUCCCCAUGCCCGAAGGACAGGAGGAAGGAGCGGAUGCACUCCACCCAGGAUGGAGGCCAGGAGCUCACUCAGGACCGAGAGCCGCUCCUACCUCUCCGAUCAGGUACUUGAGGCUGGCCCAGGGGAUCCGGGGGUCACACUGCUGGAAGGCUUUCAUUAAGUACGUGUUCAGAAUCUCCAUGCAGACCUUAAAGGAGAGGAACAGAAGGGCUAACCUGAACCAGACCACCAGUCCUUCACAGCCAAGUCUUAUCUCAAAAGUGGGCAGAAGCCGGGCGGGUGGUGCACGCCUGCGACCCCAGCGGAAGACUCGCAACUCAAGCCCAGCCUGGGCACCUUAGCAAGGCUGUUUGCAAAAAUAUUUUGGAAUUUAGAAAGGGCCGAGGAUGUUUAUACCUCAGUGCAAGGCCCCCUGUUCAACCCUCAGCACCGAAAAACAAACAAAAAGCGGGCAGGACCCAGCUGCCAGAAGCACACCGCCGGGGUGGCAUCGGGGCGGCGCUGGCCACUCCGCACCUGGAAGUCCGACUCGGUGAAGUCGUAGUAGACGUUCCAGCCGAUCUUGCCGAACUUCCCCCUCUCCUGCACCACGGCAUGGAAGAAGGCCAGCACAUAGACCAGAGGCUUGAAGGCGGGAGGCAGAGCCCCGAACUUAGGGAUAGGGCUGGGCCGGAAGGGCCACGGAAGACGCGCUUCUGGGUCUCCCUGCUCCCCAGUGCCAAGUCUCCGGGUCAAGGUCCCAGGCAGACGAGUCACAGGACCAGGUGCUGUCCCAGUGUGGCCACUGGUCGUGAGAAGGUCCUCAGACCCCGGGUCCUCAGCUGUCAAAAGCAAGUCCCUGGCUCUUCCCCACCUGCCCCAGAGAAAGGGAGGUGACAGAACCUUCCCAAAACAAUUUCCUGAGAACAAAUUACAGGGCGUGUGAAGAUCCCUUGGACUCCAGCACACACCGGGGGCCAGGGCGCCUCCGUCCCUGGGGC
rnacentral:lncRNA from 1 species